UACGAAGGGGGCUAGCGUUGUUCGGAAUCACUGGGCGUAAAGGGCGCGUAGGCGGCUUUAUAAGUCGGGUGUGAAAGCCCCGGGCUCAACCUGGGAAUUGCAUUCGAGACUGAAUAAGCUAGGGUACGGUAGAGGGAAGUGGAAUUUCCGGUGUAGCGGUGAAAUGCGUAGAUAUCGGAAGGAACAUCAGUGGCGAAAGCGACUUCCUGGACCAGUACCGACGUUCAGGCACGAAAGCCGUGGGGAGCAAACAGGA
rnacentral:rRNA from 1 species